UCCCAGUUGGUCUAGUGGUUAGGAUCCGGCGCUCUCACCGCCGUGGCCGGGGUUCGAUUCCCCGACUGGGAG
rnacentral:tRNA from 1 species